GCGGACGUGGCGGAAUUGGUAGACGCACCAGAUUUAGGUUCUGGCGCCGCAAGGCGUGGGGGUUCGAGUCCCUUUGUCCGCACCA
rnacentral:tRNA from 2 species